rnacentral:misc_RNA from 1 species
UUCACGAGAUGUUUGUGGCCUGAUAGAGCCCUCAAAAUCUUCACUUCACGUCGCACAUCUUCGAUGGAGACCGCAGUUGUCAUCUUGGUUUUGGAGAUGAUUUUGACAGCAACAGGCAAAUCCUUAAGUUCUCCUUUCUUUCCCACAGCAUGACAGGUGUGACCAAAAUGCCCACGGCCGAUCUCUUUCCCCAACUCAAACUUGGCCCCGAAAUUCUUGUUGUAACCAAAAUUCUUGUCCAAGGACUGUUCAGGUUCAGGUGUAUCAUCCUCAGGAAUCGGCCCCUCGGCGGGCGGCUUGGCAUGGCCAAAUCGCUUGGCAAGGGACGCCUUUAUGUGCUUAGCUGGAGACGGCGGAGGAAACGGCCGUUUGAAGAACCUUCUAGGCGUGGACCUAGCAGGUGAGGGCGUCACACCAACUACCCCAUGAGGGUAAGGACUCGGCCAAGGACUGUUGGCCGAGGAUCGAGCCGGUGUGUUUUUGACCGACGGCAAAUUGUUGCUGCUGACUGGCGUCUGCUGCAACGGAUGAUCGGAAUCACCGAUUACAUCGGUGAUUGGUCCGUCAGCAUCCCGGACGGUGGGGACCGUCUUUCCAUAACACUGACCCAUGGUAAGAAGGUCAGUCAGUAGUCGCAGAAGGAGUCCCCACCAGCGAAAAGAAGAGAUAGAAGUCAAAGAGAGGAGACGACUAAAGCGCUAAAGAGUCCAGAUCGAGAAGAAGAAACAGAGAGACAGGGCAAAGAGAGAAGGAUCUGCGGCGAGAAAACGAUAAAAAAAGAGAAUGAAAAGGAGAGGAGGAGGCAGUCAGAGUCAGAGUCAGAAUCAGAAAAAGAG